ensembl:lncRNA
CUGGCCCAAGAAGCUCAUCAUUGGUCUGACGGUCAGAGGGGACUCUGGAACAAUGCCUCCAGGGGAGUAAGGAGCAUGGACCAAUGUUCCAGACUGGUGCAUGGACCUAGGGUUGUGUGUUUAUCAGGAUUCUUUGGUUACAAGGACAAAAGCGCGACGCAAACCAGCUCAGCAAAAAAGAGAAAGGGAUGUGGCUGAAAUGAUCCUGAGUGACGCACAGUGCGGAGGAAGAGCCGCAGGAACCCGGGGGCGGCGGAGGAAGAGCCGCAGGAACCCGGGGGCGGCGGAGGAAGAGCCGCAGGAACCCGGGGGCGGAGGAGGAAGAGCCGCAGGAACCCGGGGGCGGAGGAGGAAGAGCCGCAGGAACCCGGGGGCGGCGGAGGAAGAGCCGCAGGAACCCGGGGGCGGCGGAGGAAGAGCCGCAGGAACCCGGGGGCGGCGGAGGAAGAGCCGCAGGAACCCGGGGGCGGAGGAGGAAGAGCCGCAGGAACCCGGGGGCGGAGGAGGAAGAGCCGCAGGAACCCGGGGGCGGCGGAGGGAGAGCCGCAGGAACCGCCGCAGGACCCGCCGCAGGAACCCGGGGGCGGCGGAGGAAGAGCCGCAGGAACCCGGGGGCGGCGGAGGAAGAGCCGCAGGAACCCGGGGGCGGAGGAGGAAGAGCCGCAGGAACCCGGGGGCGGAGGAGGAAGAGCCGCAGGAACCCGGGGGCGGCGGAGGGAGAGCCGCAGGAACCGCCGCAGGAACCGCCGCAGGAACCCGGGGGCGGCGGAGGAAGAGCCGCAGGAACCCGGGGGCGGCGGAGGAAGAGCCGCAGGAACCCGGGGGCGGCGGAGGAAGAGCCGCAGGAACCCGGGGGCGGCGGAGGAAGAGCCGCAGGAACCCGGGGGCGGCGGAGGAAGAGCCGCAGGAACCCGGGGGCGGAGGAGGAAGAGCCGCAGGAACCCGGGGGCGGCGGAGGAAGAGCCGCCGGCACCCGGGGGCGGAGGAGGAAGAGCCGCAGGAACCGCCGCAGGAACCGCCGCAGGAACCCGGGGGCGGCGGAGGAAGAGCCGCAGGAACCCGGGGGCGGCGGAGGAAGAGCCGCAGGAACCCGGGGGCGGCGGAGGAAGAGCCGCAGGAACCCGGGGGCGGCGGAGGAAGAGCCGCAGGAACCCGGGGGCGGCGGAGGAAGAGCCGCAGGAACCCGGGGGCGGCGGAGGAAGAGCCGCAGGAACCCGGGGGCGGAGGAGGAAGAGCCGCAGGAACCCGGGGGCGGAGGAGGAAGAGCCGCAGGAACCCGGGGGCGGAGGAGGAAGAGCCGCAGGAACCGCCGCAGGAACCGCCGCAGGAACCCGGGGGCGGCGGAGGAAGAGCCGCAGGAACCCGGGGGCGGCGGAAGAAGAGCCGCAGGAACCCGGGGGCGGAGGAGGAAGAGCCGCAGGAACCCGGGGGCGGCGGAGGAAGAGCCGCAGGAACCGCCGCAGGAACCGCCGCAGGAACCGCCGCAGGAACCCGGGGGCGGCGGAGGAAGAGCCGCAGGAACCCGGGGGCGGCGGAGGUAGAGCCGCAGGAACCCGGGGGCGGCGGAGGAAGAGCCGCAGGAACCCGGGGGCGGCGGAGGAAGAGCCGCAGGAACCCGGGGGCGGCGGAGGAAGAGCCGCAGGAACCCGGGGGCGGAGGAGGAAGAGCCGCAGGAACCCGGGGGCGGAGGAGGAAGAGCCGCAGGAACCCGGGGGCGGAGGAGGAAGAGCCGCAGGAACCCGGGGGCGGAGGAGGAAGAGCCGCAGGAACCCGGGGGCGGCGGAGGGAGAGCCGCAGGAACCGCCGCAGGAACCGCCGCAGGAACCCGGGGGCGGCGGAGGAAGAGCCGCAGGAACCCGGGGGCGGCGGAGGAAGAGCCGCAGGAACCCGGGGGCGGCGGAGGAAGAGCCGCAGGAACCCGGGGGCGGCGGAGGAAGAGCCGCAGGAACCCGGGGGCGGCGGAGGAAGAGCCGCAGGAACCCGGGGGCGGAGGAGGAAGAGCCGCAGGAACCCGGGGGCGGAGGAGGAAGAGCCGCAGGAACCCGGGGGCGGAGGAGGAAGAGCCGCAGGAACCGCCGCUGGAACCGCCGCAGGAACCCGGGGGCGGCGGAGGAAGAGCCGCAGGAACCCGGGGGCGGCGGAGGAAGAGCCGCAGGAACCCGGGGGCGGCGGAGGAAGAGCCGCAGGAACCCGGGGGCGGCGGAGGAAGAGCCGCAGGAACCCGGGGGCGGCGGAGGAAGAGCCGCAGGAACCCGGGGGCGGCGGAGGAAGAGCCGCAGGAACCCGGGGGCGGCGGAGGAAGAGCCGCAGGAACCCGGGGGCGGAGGAGGAAGAGCCGCAGGAACCCGGGGGCGGAGGAGGAAGAGCCGCAGGAACCGCCGCAGGAACCGCCGCAGGAACCCGGGGGCGGCGGAGGAAGAGCCGCAGGAACCCGGGGGCGGCGGAAGAAGAGCCGCAGGAACCCGGGGGCGGAGGAGGAAGAGCCGCAGGAACCCGGGGGCGGCGGAGGAAGAGCCGCAGGAACCGCCGCAGGAACCGCCGCAGGAAGAGCCGCAGGAACCCGGGGGCGGCGGAGGAAGAGCCGCAGGAACCCGGGGGCGGCGGAGGAAGAGCCGCAGGAACCCGGGGGCGGCGGAGGAAGAGCCGCAGGAACCCGGGGGCGGCGGAGGAAGAGCCGCAGGAACCCGGGGGCGGCGGAGGAAGAGCCGCAGGAACCCGGGGGCGGAGGAGGAAGAGCCGCAGGAACCCGGGGGCGGAGGAGGAAGAGCCGCAGGAACCCGGGGGCGGAGGAGGAAGAGCCGCAGGAACCCGGGGGCGGAGGAGGAAGAGCCGCAGGAACCCGGGGGCGGAGGAGGAAGAGCCGCAGGAACCCGGGGGCGGAGGAGGAAGAGCCGCAGGAACCCGGGGGCUGGGGCGGAGGAGGAAGAGCCGCAGGAACCCGGGGGCUGGGGCUGAGCAUUCUGCACCACAAGGACUUGCUUCCUCUCCUUCCAUCUCUCAGCUCUGCGUCUCUUUCCGUAUUAUCUUCUUCCUUGCUUACAGCAGAAAGAUCUUUUCCUCACGGUGGAAACGUGGCCGUUGGCAGCCCCAGUUUAGCCACGUGAACAGAGAGAGGAGACGUCAGGGCUCCAGGAGAGGACUCUGAUCAGCCCUGUUUAAGUGCCAAUCACUGUAGCCAGGGGGAUGGACGUGAUUAUUGGCCAGUAGUGAGCCUCGUGCCCACUCACAUAGCUAGAGAUGCAGGAAAAUACUUUAUAAAUAAUAAGGGGAAGAGUGUGGGAAGUUUGCUAGGUAGACAAAAACAAAGACCGGAGACUGUGGGCAGCUCCACGAGGUCAGGGAUUCCGUUAUCGUCUCCGUAUGUUCCACGCAGAGCCUGGCUCCCGCCAGCCCGUAUGGUGACAGGGGCUGGGUUGUAUCUGGGUGGCUCAUCCUUAC